rfam:Ciona savignyi cont_20515, whole genome shotgun sequence.
GGCUCUUUGGUCUAGGGGUAUGAUUCUCGCUUCGGGUGCGAGAGGGCCCGGGUUCAAUUCCCGGACGAUCCC